rnacentral:rRNA from 1 species
AAGUUUUAAGAAGAAUAUUCUAAUCUCGCUUAUUGAUAUGCUCCUCCGCAGGUUCACCUACGGAAUGCUCCUCCGCUUAUUGAUAUGCUCCUCCGGAUGUUCUCCUACGGAGUCCUCCGCUGGUAGUUGAGCUCCUCCGCAGGAUCAACGAUUACGGAUUGGGCCGGGAGAUGGGAGUGCAAUCCGAACUGAGAUGGCGUUUGGAUAUGACCUUACGCUCGCCAGCUCCCUGCCCAUUGUCGCCACCAUUGUAGCAUUCAUAUAUUCGAUCAUGUUCUGGCCUUGGGGACUUGAUUUCUUCCCCAAC